AUCAGUCAGUCCGCAACGCCCGCGAUAAUUAGGCAGAAUGCCCAAAUUUACACAGCACCCGGAAGUGCGAUAAACCGUCGUAUUUCGUGUCCCGCGAUUUGCGAGAUUUCGUGAGACUUUUGCACAGGUCAACAAACUUUAUCACAGCUGCUAUGGCUUUUACUGUGCUGCGUAGCAUGUAGGGGACCGAAGAAUACAAGAACAGCUUCUAUCCUCGUAAUGGAAUCAACUACGAGCCGGCAGCCACCAUCAUCAAAGUCAACAUCAGCCAAGUCUUUCCAUACCAAAGUUUGGAGCUACAUGCAGAAUGACCACUCAGCGCAGCUGUACACAGGCGGGCUAGAGCGUCGAUGUGGCUCUACUUCAUCUAAAAAUUAGAUGAUGUCUGCAACCAACUGUAUUUUUAUGAGCACCUUUUUAUUUUUAUUUUUGAACUCUGCACCCUCAGUUGUGAUGUUUGUUGACAGUUUGCGAUGCCACGGAAGUCUGGACGUAUAUAACAAUUGGUCCUGUCCAGUACCACCUUAGAUGUAGAUAUUGUUGUUUUUCUGACGGAUGCACUCAACCAUCGAACUUGCGGAACAUUGACAACAAAUUAGCUAAGACACAGACUUCACACAUCAGUCUCCAUUGCAUUCCUGAAUCAGCAUUUGCUAGACUUCACAUACAUGUAGGAACAAACAAUCUUGAAAGCGGAGUUUGGGAGAAGGACAAGAAGGAUUUUGUUCAGCUUAUUCUUUCAGUAAAAGAAAAAUCCAUUUCAAGUGAUUACAUUUUUGUAUCUCUGAUAGUGAUACUUCGAAGGUGGGAUUCCUGAGCUUUACAUGAACAAAGCAUUUAUUAUAAUAAAAAACUGAUUGAACUGUCACCGUUAUACAAUUUAAACUUUAAAGAUGUUUUACUCGGAUAAUACUUUUAUUCUCAGUGACACAUGUUAUGCAAGUAAUGGUCUCAAGCAGGGUAAAAAUUAGUACUUAUUUUUCGGGGGCUACUUUUCAAGCUUGCCUGCGUAAAAAUAACACUCUAAAAUUUGUUUUGCAUUGAACUCUAUGCAAAUUUAUGGGGGCUCUUUUCUGAUCUUCGGGGGCUCUUUUGGGCAUUUCGGGGGCUAUUUCGUCCUGAGCCCGUGUAUUUUUUUCACUGGUCUCAAGUUCUCAACAUACAAGUCAAAGUCAGUUUAUAAAUAAAAUAUGAAUAUUAUAAAAUGGAAA